GACGAACGCUGGCGGCGUGCUUAACACAUGCAAGUCGAGCGGUAAGGCCCUUUCGGGGGUACGACGAGCGGCGAACGGGUGAGUAACACGUGGGUGACCUGCCCUCAGCUCUGGGAUAAGCCUGGGAAACCGGGUCUAAUACUGGAUAUGACUCCAUGACGCAUGUUGUGGGGUGGAAAGCCUUGUGCGGCUGAGGAUGGGCCCGCGGCCUAUCAGCUUGUUGGUGGGGGGA
rnacentral:rRNA from 1 species